CGGGAGGUCCCCAGUCUGAAACUGGAGCUGCUAAAAUGAAGUAAAAGGUCCAGACUUUGCUCUAUUUCUUGCUGUCUGCCACCACUUGCCAUUGCUCCAGCUGGAUGUCACAGGAAGCAGCUAUAUUUUCUUCUCCUUCUCCCUAGAUGUGGGCAUAACCAAGGUGGUGGUGAUGAAAACAUCUCUGAGGAGGACUAAGGGAGCAUAAGGAAGCUUCCAGCCUCUCUGCAUAACAGGAGUGCCCCAUUUCUAGAAUGUGGUGGAAACAAGCAUGGAAAGAAAAGAAAGAAAAUGGGACUACCACACAGCUGUUCACAUCUCUGCCUUGGCUUUGUGUGUGAAACCUUCAGUUCUGUGAGAAUCAUGGGCUGAUAUCACAUCUAGGCUGGGACCUUCAAAAGGGACUUCAAGAACAGAAAGAAGACAGGCUUGCAAUAAAAGACCACGUUCAGGGAAUAUCA
rnacentral:lncRNA from 1 species